GCUUGUGCGGUGACGUCAUGGGAGGCGAGCCCAGUCACGUGACAUUGGAAAACAUCGGACGGCCCAUCCAUUCGCCUUCACGGCUUUGGCUCGGUGUCGUCGUUGUCACUGUGGAGAGAUGGCUCGUUGUAGCGUCUCUAUUGCUAUUUUCAGCAAAAGCUUCGCGGAUAAAUCUUGUUUGAUAUUUGAAGCAAGUGAAUUGAGCGAUGUUUCGAGUGACAUAAUCAAGAAUCACCUUCAAAGGAAUGGGUUGAGCGUCACGGGCAACAGAAAAGUUUUGGUUCGACGGUGUCUCGGGAACCUAAAUCGUUGAGGCUGCGAAAAUGACGAAAACGAGAGUAGCAGCAGGAACGCUACCAUGAGUGACCUCGGUAGUUGCAGGUUCCACACUAUCGUCGCGGUGCCACUUCCUCUAGAAAGCUUUACUAUGAGUAAUGUGAUGGACUACUUCAUCUUCCGCCAGUUGGAGGCUGGUAUAGACGCAGAUUAUAAAGGCAGGGACUCCAGAUUGCACCUACAGAUGUUCUACAGAAAUGGCAUCAACCUUCUGUCAUCAAGAUUGGACCAACGCGUCUGAAGGACAUCAUGGUUUCGGAAACUGUCAAAUAUAGGGAAUGUGAUGUCAGUGUUCCUCGUGUUACAGACAGCGAGUUGCAACAGUUUGUCCAAGGGAUGGGAUCCGACACAAUGUAUGCAAGAAGCUUGUUUGUGCAACACGCUUACUUGGAGCCACCACCAGACAACCUCCCAAUGUCAACUGUUCUACCAGAUAUUGCUUAUCAUCCCCAAGAAUGUACAACUCAGAUCCUCCUGUAUUAUGCUGAGCAUGUUCGGCUUGACCUACAAGAGUGUCAGGGACUUCAGGAACGUACAAGAGCUCAGUUUUUGUGUCAUUUAUGGCAUGAUGAAAGAAAGCUCCGCCUCACAGCAUCCAAUUUUGGGAGGGUAAUUUCUAGGAGAGACGAUUUCAAGAAACUUGCAGUUGAUCUAACUAGUAAAAAAAAUAUCAGCCACGUUCCAGCUGUACGUCAUGGCAUUCAGUCUGAGAAAGUGGCAAAACAGAGAUUUUUGGAAUACAGUAACUCAACAAUAAUAUACGACUGUGGCUUGGUAGUAAAUCCAAAGUUUCCUUAUCUGGCAUGUUCCCCUGAUGGUCUUUUGUACAUUGAUGGUGAACCAGCUCUCAUUGAAUGCAAAGCACUGUAUAAUGCUAAGGGAAAAUCUGUGUCUGAAGCAUUGAAUGACAGAAUGUACCCUUAUCUUGUGAGUAAUGGCUCAUCACUAUCCUUGAAACAGGAUCAUAUGUAUUUUUAUCAGGUCCAGGGCCAAAUGGCUAUCACUGGUGUACACCAUUGCUUCUUUGUAGUCAUUGCUGACCUCACAAAGGAAC